rnacentral:rRNA from 1 species
AGUCGAGCGGACAGAUGGGAGCUUGCUCCCUGAUGUUAGCGGCGGACGGGUGAGUAACACGUGGGUAACCUGCCUGUAAGACUGGGAUAACUCCGGGAAACCGGGGCUAAUACCGGAUGGUUGUUUGAACCGCAUGGUUCAGACAUAAAAGGUGGCUUCGGCUACCACUUACAGAUGGACCCGCGGCGCAUUAGCUAGUUGGUGAGGUAACGGCUCACCAAGGCAACGAUGCGUAGCCGACCUGAGAGGGUGAUCGGCCACACUGGGACUGAGACACGGCCCAGACUCCUACGGGAGGCAGCAGUAGGGAAUCUUCCGCAAUGGACGAAAGUCUGACGGAGCAACGCCGCGUGAGUGAUGAAGGUUUUCGGAUCGUAAAGCUCUGUUGUUAGGGAAGAACAAGUGCCGUUCAAAUAGGGCGGCACCUUGACGGUACCUAACCAGAAAGCCACGGCUAACUACGUGCCAGCAGCCGCGGUAAUACGUAGGUGGCAAGCGUUGUCCGGAAUUAUUGGGCGUAAAGGGCUCGCAGGCGGUUUCUUAAGUCUGAUGUGAAAGCCCCCGGCUCAACCGGGGAGGGUCAUUGGAAACUGGGGAACUUGAGUGCAGAAGAGGAGAGUGGAAUUCCACGUGUAGCGGUGAAAUGCGUAGAGAUGUGGAGGAACACCAGUGGCGAAGGCGACUCUCUGGUCUGUAACUGACGCUGAGGAGCGAAAGCGUGGGGAGCGAACAGGAUUAGAUACCCUGGUAGUCCACGCCGUAAACGAUGAGUGCUAAGUG